rnacentral:lncRNA from 1 species
GGGAAAUCAAUGUACAUGGCAAGCUUCAGCUCCAGCAUCUGGUAAACAGGAUCGCCGAAAGGCAAGGCUGUGAAAAUCUUGCCCAGUGCACUGGCAUUUGGUAAACGCUGACUGUAACCACCAGAAUGAAUUAGCAGCACGAUAAAAGAAGUCCAUUUAUCACCGUAGAGAUUUUCUAGGCACUGCAGAACAUGAAGCGUCG